UCGCACUACAUCAGUAAUCACAGUUUCACUCAUGUUAUGUGGAGAUUACAAAGCAUGAAUUCAAACACCUGCGCUUACAAUAGCAGGUAUAUCAUUCAUGUACCUUGCUCCAAUGACGCAUAUUGGAUCUAACAUAUUUACCCUCUUUUCUAUCUUCCAAAACUGAGGACCAUUUGACUUCUAGAUUAUGGUUUAAGAGCUGAUCUUACACGUACUAGGAUCCAUGAUGAUGGAAGCAGCCUUUGAGAGAAUUUGGGACAAAUCUACGUAAGCUCUUGAAUUUGCGGGAAGUUCUUGGAGAAACAUCCUCUGACAUGUUCCUUCUCAUUUCAUCGGCUUUCAUUUGCGCAGCUCUAUUUUCCGGAUCGAUGCCUCGGCUUUAGCAUUUUGCAGAUUCUCCCAAGCCGUGAUCCUUGCUUCCUCUUUCU
rnacentral:lncRNA from 1 species